UCUUUUUAGGGAAGAACUGACAAAAAGAGGAAAGAUCGAAGGCGCAGCAGAAUCAAUUUCACAGGUUUUCUGUCUCGCUAACGAGUCUGGUCAAGACUGCGCGAAGCAAAUAGGAAAAUGGCAAGAAAUAUGGGUCAUCUCUUGAAAUCGUUGAUUGAGCUUCCAAUAUCCAAAGUUGGUUUUUCAAAGAACUCAGCUGGUCGACUCAUUUGCUCUUCAACUCAAGGAGAGCAAAU
rnacentral:misc_RNA from 1 species